UGAAAUUGUUCACACUUUGUGUUGCUUGCCU
rnacentral:piRNA from 1 species